rnacentral:rRNA from 1 species
GAUGAACGCUGGCGGCGUGCUUAACGCAUGCAAGUCGAACGGAAAGGCCUCUGCUUGCAGGGGUACUCGAGUGGCGAACGGGUGAGUAACACGUGGGUGAUCUGCCCUGCACUUCGGGAUAAGCCUGGGAAACUGGGUCUAAUACCGGAUAGGACAAUGGUUUGGAUGCUGUUGUGGAAAGUUUUUCGGUGUGGGAUGAGCUCGCGGCCUAUCAGCUUGUUGGUGGGGUAAUGGCCUACCAAGGCGUCGACGGGUAGCCGGCCUGAGAGGGUGUACGGCCACAUUGGGACUGAGAUACGGCCCAGACUCCUACGGGAGGCAGCAAUGGGGAAUAUUGCACAAUGGGCGCAAGCCUGAUGCAGCGACGCCGCGUGGGGGAUGACGGCCUUCGGGUUGUAAACUCCUUUCGCUAGGGACGAAGCGUUUUUGUGACGGUACCUGGAGAAGAAGCACCGGCUAACUACGUG